AGCCACUGAUGAAAACCUUUAAUUGCUGACACCUUGUAUGAUGGCUAGUCAAUAGCACAAUGCUCUGUUUUAAUUUCUGAGGCUU
ensembl:snoRNA small nucleolar RNA SNORD60